GGGGGGAGCAAGCGUUGUUCGGAUUUACUGGGCGUAAAGGGCGCGUAGGCGGCCAGCACAAGUCAGUUGUGAAAUCUCCGAGCUUAACUCGGAAAGGUCAACUGAUACUGUGCGGCUAGAGUGCGGAAGGGGCAACUGGAAUUCUUGGCGUAGCGGUGAAAUGCGUAGAUAUCAAGAGGAACACCUGCGGCGAAGGCGGGUUGCUGGGCCGACACUGACGCUGAGGCGCGAAAGCCAGGGGAGCGAACGGGAUUAGAUACCCCGGUAGUCCUGGCCUUAAACGAUGAAUGCUUGGUGUCUGGGGUUAUAUAGUCCCCGGGUGCCGUCGCUAACGCUUUAAGCAUUCCGCCUGGGGAGUACGGUCGCAAGASGKG
rnacentral:rRNA from 1 species